GAUGAACGCUGGCGGCGUGCCUAAUACAUGCAAGUCGAGCGAAUGGAUUAAGAGCUUGCUCUUAUGAAGUUAGCGGCGGACGGGUGAGUAACACGUGGGUAACCUGCCCAUAAGACUGGGAUAACUCCGGGAAACCGGGGCUAAUACCGGAUAACAUUUUGAACCGCAUGGUUCGAAAUUGAAAGGCGGCUUCGGCUGUCACUUAUGGAUGGACCCGCGUCGCAUUAGCUAGUUGGUGAGGUAACGGCUCACCUAGGCAACGAUGCGUAGCCGACCUGAGAGGGUGAUCGGCCAAGCUGGGACGGAGCCACGGCCCAGACUCCUACGGGAGGCAGCAGUAGGGAAUCUUCCGCAAUGGACGAAAGUCUGACGGAGCAACGCCGCGUGAGUGAUGAAGGCUUUCGGGUCGUAAAACUCUGUUGUUAGGGAAGAACAAGUGCUAGUUGAAUAAGCUGGCACCUCGACGGUACCUAACCAGAAAGCCACGGCUAACUACGUGCCAGCAGCCGCGGUAA
rnacentral:rRNA from 1 species